CCUACGGGAGGCAGCAGUGGGGAAUAUUGCGCAAUGGGGGCAACCCUGACGCAGCCAUGCCGCGUGAAUGAAGAAGGCCUUCGGGUUGUAAAGUUCUUUCGGUGACGAGGAAGGCGUGAUGUUUAAUAGGCAUCACGAUUGACGUUAAUCACAGAAGAAGCACCGGCUAACUCCGUGCCAGCAGCCGCGGUAAUACGGAGGAUGCGAGCGUUAUCCGGAUUUAUUGGGCGUAAAGGGCACGCAGGCGGUGACUUAAGUGAGGUGUGAAAGCCCCGGGCUUAACCUGGGAAUUGCAUUUCAGACUGGGUAGCUAGAGUACUUUAGGGAGGGGUAGAAUUCCACGUGUAGCGGUGAAAUGCGUAGAGAUGUGGAGGAAUACCGAAGGCGAAGGCAGCCCCUUGGGAAUGUACUGACGCUCAUGUGCGAAAGCGUGGGGAGCAAACAGGAUUAGAUACCCUAGUAGUC
rnacentral:rRNA from 1 species